rnacentral:rRNA from 1 species
GACGAACGCUGGCGGCGUGCUUAACACAUGCAAGUCGUACGGUAAGGCCCUUUCGGGGGUCCACGAGUGGCGAACGGGUGAGUAACACGUGAGUAACCUGCCCACAACUUUGGGAUAACGCUAGGAAACUGGUGCUAAUACUGGAUAUGUGCUCCUGCUGCAUGGUGGGGGUUGGAAAGCUCCGGCGGUUGUGGUGGGACUCGCGGCCUAUCCGCUUGUUGGUGGGGUAGUGGCCUACCAAGGCGGCGACGGGGCGCCGGCCUGGGAGGGUGACCGGGCACAGUGGGACUGAGAUACGGCCCCGACUCCGACGGGAGGCAGAAGUGGGGAAUAGUGCACAAGGGGCGCGAGCCUGAUGCAGCAACGCCGCGUGCGGGAUGACGGCCUUCGGGUUGGAAACCGCUUUCAGCAGGGACGAAGCUUUUUGUGACGGUACCUGCAGAAGAAGCACCGGCUAACUACGUG